rnacentral:siRNA from 1 species
UUGUAAGGAUACGAAUUAGGU